CCCACCAAACCACAGGAAAAAAAAUUAGAGAGAGAGAGAGAGACUUGAAGCUGAAAAUGAAGACACAAGUGACAUCAGUUACACUUUCUCAACUCAUCCGUCCAUCACGGGGCCCGUGGGCCCCCAGGCUGGGCUGGGUGAUGAGGGUCAGCAGCGGCUGGGACACCGUGGGCACCGGAAACCCUCGACCCAAGUCUGGCUCACUAUCAGCCCUUGAUGACAAGAAAUUCAGAGUCGGGCUCCUCUGGCUUUGGGGUAGCAGCUUGGCCUCUUCCAGCCUUGGUCCUGCCACCAGCCCUGGCAUCCCAGCUUCAGCGCAGAGGCGGGAAGGCCUGUCUGGGGCGGAUCUCAAACCUGUCGGACGGGUUUGUGGUUCCCUGAAGUUGCCCUGGCUCAGAGGCAGCCCUGGCCUGGCCUGGCAGGGUCCAGCUCUGGGCUCAGGCCGGGCAGGAGGGAGCUGCAGGAUCCGGGAACCAGGCCAGCAUUGCCUGAGGACACCUCCGGGCAAGCGGCAGGUGGGCCCGGGGACAGGGAGGGCGAGGUGGCUGGACUGGGCAGAGUCAGCUGUCCUCUGAGGGCUGCUGGUGGGAGCAGAGAUGGAGGGAGGGACAGACGGGGUAUGUGGGGACAGGGACAGAGGCAGAGAGAGGAGAAGGUAAGUGAUGGGAGAGAGAUGCCAGGGGCACAGACACAACUCUGGGGCCUGGGCAGGCCUUGCUGUUUCUGCCUCAGUUUCCCCUGCGGCACCACAGAAGGGUCUGAUGGGGCCCCAGGAAGAGAGAAA